CUAGGAAUAUUGGUCAAUGGGCGAGAGCCUGAACCAGCCAAGUCGCGUGAGGGAAGACUGCCCUAUGGGUUGUAAACCUCUUUUGUAAGGGAAGAACCGACAUUACGUGUAAUGUUUUGCCAGUACCUUACGAAUAAGCAUCGGCUAACUCCGUGCCAGCAGCCGCGGUAAUACGGAGGAUGCGAGCGUUAUCCGGAUUUAUUGGGCGUAAAGCGCGCGUAGGCGGCUUGUCAAGCAAAAUCUCUAAUCCGAGGGCUCAACCCCCGGCCGGAUUUUGAACUGGCAGGCUCGAGUUUGGUAGAGGAAGAUGGAAUUCCCGGUGUAGCGGUGGAAUGCGCAGAUAUCGGGAAGAACACCGAUGGCGAAGGCAGUCUUCUGGGCCAUUAACUGACGCUGAGGCGCGAAAGCUAGGGGAGCGAACA
rnacentral:rRNA from 1 species